rnacentral:rRNA from 1 species
AGUCGAGGGGCAGCGGGGUUGUAGCAAUACAACUGCCGGCGACCGGCGCACGGGUGAGUAACACGUAUGUAACCUGCCCUCUGCAGGGGGAUAAGCGGAAGAAAUUCCGUCUAAUACCGCAUAAUACAAUUUGGAGACAUCUCCGGGUUGUCAAAGGAGUGAUCCGGCAGAGGAUGGACAUGCGGCGCAUUAGCUAGUCGGCGGGGUAACGGCCCACCGAGGCUACGAUGCGUAGGGGUUCUGAGAGGAAGGUCCCCCACACUGGUACUGAGACACGGACCAGACUCCUACGGGAGGCAGCAGUGAGGAAUAUUGGUCAAUGGGCGGAAGCCUGAACCAGCCAAGUCGCGUGAGGGAAGACGGUCCUAUGGAUUGUAAACCUCUUUUGCAGGGGAGCAAGGCGCGGUACGUGUACCGCGAAGGAGAGUACCCUGAGAAAAAGCAUCGGCUAACUCCGUGCCAGCAGCCGCGGUAAUACGGAGGAUGCGAGCGUUAUCCGGAUUUAUUGGGUUUAAAGGGAGCGUAGGCGGGUUGUUAAGUCAGUUGUGAAAGUUUGCGGCUCAACCGUAAAAUUGCAGUUGAUACUGGCAUCCUUGAGUACAGUAGAGGUAGGCGGAAUUCGUGGUGUAGCGGUGAAAUGCUUAGAUAUCACGAAGAACUCCGAUUGCGAAGGCAGC